GCCGCGCGGGCUCCCUCAGCAGUCCCGCUACUGCCGCGGGGCGGGCAGGAGGGAGAAGGGCGCUGCGUAGCUUUGCGCGCCGCCGCCGCCGCCGCUGCCUCCUCUCCCAGGCAGGAAGCGAGAGAGCGCGGCUGGCCGUAGGAAGAGCAGCCGCCGCCGCCCAGCAUGCCCUCGCCUGCCCCAGGCGGCCUCCGCGCCUUGCGCUCUUCUUAGCCGAGUCGCCGCCUCAGCCUCGUCUUGGCCCCGGCCCCAUGGUGGUUGGGGGGCAGCGCUCUGCUGCGGCGCGGGGAGGCGGCAGAGGAGGAGGAGAACGAGAAGGAGGAAGGCAUGGCCGCCCAGGGGGACAGCUGCAGCGUCAAGGUGGCCGUGAGGAUCCGUCCUCAGAUGCCAAAGGAGAAGAUAGAAGGAUGCCACAUCUGCACAUCAGUGACACCUGGCGAACCCCAGGUGCUCCUGGGAAAGGACAAAGCCUUUACCUACGACUUUGUCUUCGACCUGGAUACGUGGCAGGAACAAAUCUACACAACCUGUGUGAGCAAACUCAUCGAGGGCUGCUUCGAGGGGUACAAUGCGACUGUGUUGGCAUAUGGCCAGACAGGUGCAGGUAAGACGUACACCAUGGGAACCGGCUUUGACGUGAACAUUUCCGAAGAUGAGAAUGGCAUAAUUCCACGGGCCAUUACCCACCUAUUCUCUGGCAUAGAGGAGCGCAAGCGGGCAGCGCAGGAACAGGGUGUGCCAGUACCCGAGUUUAAAGUCAGUGCACAGUUCUUGGAGCUGUAUAAUGAAGAGAUCCUGGACCUCUUUGAUAGCUCACGAGACCCUGAUUGCCGCCACCGGAAGUCAAACAUCAAAAUCCAUGAAGAUACCAGUGGUGGGAUCUACACCACAGGUGUCACAUCACGUCUCAUUGGCUCGCAGGACGAGCUGAUUCAGUGCCUGAAGCAGGGAGCUCUCUCUCGAACCACAGCCAGCACCCAGAUGAAUGUCCAGAGCUCCCGCUCCCAUGCCAUCUUCACCAUCUACCUUUGCCAAAUGCGCGUCUGCUCCCCUGUACACUUGGUGAAUGGAGACUCCAACAGUCUCCUGGAGGGAUCCCAGCCUUCUAGUGAAUAUGAGACGCGAACAGCCAAAUUCCACUUUGUUGACCUGGCUGGCUCAGAGAGGUUGAAGCGGACUGGUGCAACUGGCGAGAGAGCCAAGGAAGGGAUCUCCAUCAACUGUGGUUUGCUAGCACUGGGAAACGUCAUCAGUGCCCUUGGGGAUCAGAGCAAGAGAGCCUUGCAUGUGCCCUACCGAGAUUCAAAGCUGACUCGGCUCCUCCAAGAUUCCCUUGGUGGCAACAGCCAAACCAUAAUGAUUGCCUGUGUGAGCCCUUCUGAUCGGGAUUUUAUGGAGACCCUGAAUACCCUUAAGUAUGCCAACAGAGCUCGCAACAUCAAGAACAAAGUGGUGGUGAACCAGGAUAAGACGAGCCAGCAGAUCAGCGCCCUGCGAGCUGAAAUUGCUCGCCUUCAGAUGGAGCUCAUGGAGUACAAGGCGGGUAAGCGUGUCAUUGGAGAGGAUGGCUCUGAAGGCUAUAGUGACCUGUUCCAGGAGAAUGCCAUGCUGCAGAAGGAGAACACCACUUUGCGUAUGCGUGUGAAGGCCAUGCAAGAAGCUAUUGAUGCCAUCAACGUCCGUGUCACACACUUAAUGAGCCAAGAAGCCAACUUGAUUCUUGCCAAGGCAGGUGAUGGCAACGAGGCUAUUGGUGCUCUGAUUCAGAACUACAUUCGGGAAAUAGAGGAGCUCAGGACAAAGCUCUUGGAGAGCGAAGCUAUGAAUGAAUCACUGCGUCGCGGUCUAUCACGAGUUUCCUCUAGGCUUCCUUAUUCCCUGGGCUUAUCUUCAUCUCCUGGGUUGGGAGCUUCAAAUAGCCCUGUCUCCUCUGUGCAAGCUGAGGCCUCAGAAGUCAUCCAGUGGGCCAAGCAAGAUAUAGAACGGUUGAAGAAGGAGACUAAGCUGCGAAGGAAAAGCCCAGAGAAAGAAGGGUUUAAGAAGAGGUUGAGGAUGCAGCAGGGAAAUGAGGCGGAUGAGACAGAUGAGAAUGAAGUGGAAGAGGAGGAACGGGAUGAGAGUGGCUGUGAGGAAGAAGGCGGCCAGGAGGAGGAGGAGGAAGAUGAUUCAGGAAGUGAAGAAAGCCUGGUGGAUUCUGACUCGGAUGUUGAAGAAAAGGCAGCAAGUUUCCAAGCUGAUCUGGCUGACCUGACCUGUGAGAUCGAGAUCAAACAGAAGCUAAUAGAUGAGCUGGAGAACAGCCAGCGGCGCCUGCAAACUCUGAAGCACCAGUAUGAGGAGAAGCUGAUUCUACUGCAGAACAAGAUCCGUGACACACAGCAAGAGAGGGACAGGGUCCUGCAAAACUUGAGUUCCAUGGAAUGCUACACAGAAGAGAAGGCAAACAAGAUCAAAGCAGAUUAUGAGAAGCGUCUAAGGGAGAUGAACAGGGACCUGCAAAAGUUGCAGGCAGCCCAGAAGGAGCAUGCCCGCCUCCUCAAGAACCAGUCGCGAUAUGAGCGAGAGUUGAAGAAGCUGAAUGCAGAAGUGGCAGAGAUGAAGAAAGCCAAGGUGGCACUGAUGAAACAAAUGCGUGAGGAGCAGCAGCGGCGCAGAUUGGCAGAGACGAAAAGGAACCGGGAGAUUGCCCAGCUGAAGAAGGAGCAGAGGAGGCAGGAGUUUCAGAUUCGAGCCCUAGAAUCUCAGAAGCGGCAGCAGGAGAUUGUACUUCGCAGGAAAACCCAAGAGGUCUCUGCUCUGCGCCGUCUGGCCAAACCUAUGUCUGAUCGGGUUGCUGGAAGAAUGAAUCAGAAGCAAACCAUGCUGGACUCAGGUGUAGAGGUCUCCACCAGCACCACCUCCUCUGAGCCAGAAUCUAGUUCUCGUUCUGUCUCCAGCAUUGUGCGCCAAUGGAAUCGGAAAAUCAACACCUUUCUGGGAGAUCCUCCUCCUUCCACAAAUGGGACUCGAACCGUCAGGAAGAAGUUCGCAAAGAAAGGGGCAAACCAAACCUUCAGUAAGACAGCCCGCAUGAAGUGGCAGUCCCUGGAGCGCCGUGUCUUUGACAUUGUCAUGCAGAGGAUGACCAUCAUCAAUCUGGAGUCGGAUAUGGAGCGACUCAUCAAGAAACGUGAGGAGCUGUCACUGAUGCAGGAGAUGCUUCUGGGGAAGAGGGAGAAGCUUCAGACAGAGAACCCUGAAGAGCAGAAGGGGCUGCAGGAGCUGAAUGAGGAGAUUGAGGUGCUGGCAGCCAACAUUGACUACAUCAAUGACGGCAUUUCUGACUGCCAGGCCACCAUCAUGCAGCUUGAAGAGACCAAGGAAGAACUGGAUUCCACAGACACCUCUGUGGUGAUCAGCUCCUGCUCUUUGGCUGAGGCACGGCUUUUGCUGGACAAUUUCCUCAAGGCAUCCAUAGACAAGAGCCUGCAGGUAGCCCAGAAGGAAGCCCAGAUCCGCCUGCUGGAAGGCCGCUUGAGACAAACAGAUGUGACUGGCUCCUCUCAGAACCACCACAUCCUGGAUGCCUUGCGGGAAAAGGCAGAAUCCCACCCUGAGCUUCAGGCGCUCAUCCACAAUGUGCAGCAAGAGAAUGGCUAUGCCAGCACAGAUGAAGAAGUCUCUGAAUUCAGCAUGGCCUCAGAAGGGAGCUUUUCCCAGUCUUUCUCCAUGAAGGGUUCUGCCAGCCAGGAUGACUUCAAGUGCAGGGGGGAGCCCAAGCUGUCUGGCCAGAUGAAAGCUGUGUCUGCAGAGUGUCUAGGGCCCACAUUGGACAUCUCCACCAAGAACAUCACCAAGUCAUUGGCAUCCCUCAUGGAGAUCAAAGAGGAUGGGAUUGGCUUCUCCAUCCGUGAUCCUUACUACAAGGAGAAGGUCUCCCGCACCAUCAGCCUGCCCAUCCGAGGGAGUACAUUCCCUAGACAGUCCCGUGGCGCAGACACAUCACCCCUCACCAGGAGGAAGUCAUAUGACCGGGGCCAGCCUAUCAGGAACCCAGACGUUGGAUUCACUCCUCCUUCAUCCCCUCCCAGCAGGCCACGCAACGACCGGAAUGUUUUCUCCCGCCUCACCAGCAACCAGAGUCAGGGCUCAGCACUAGACAAGUCUGAUGACAGUGACUCCUCUGUCUCGGAGGUGCUGAGGGGCAUUAUCAACCCUGUGGGAGGGUCCAGGAGUGCCCGGACAGCUCCGCUGCAAUGCAUCUCUGUGGCAGAAGGACACACCAAGCCUGUCCUGUGCCUGGAUGCUACAGAUGAAUUGUUGUUCUCUGGAUCCAAAGAUCGGAGCUGCAAAAUGUGGAACUUGGUGACUGGCCAGGAAAUUGCCUCCUUGAAAGGCCACCCAAACAAUGUCGUUUCCAUAAAGUACAGUAACCACUCUGGCCUGGUGUUCACAGUCUCUACCUCUUACAUCAAAGUGUGGGACAUCCGGGAUUCUGCAAAGUGUAUUCGUACUCUCACUUCUUCAGGCCAGGUGAUUGCCGGGGAUGCCUGUGCUGGCACCUCCACCCGCACCAUCACCAGUGUGCAAGGAGAGCACCAGAUCAACCAGAUUGCACUUAACCCCACAGGCACCAUGCUCUAUGCAGCCACUGGCAAUUCUGUCCGCAUCUGGGAGCUAAACAGGUUGCAGCCCAUUGGGAAGCUGACAGGCCAUAUUGGACCAGUGAUGUGUCUCACAGUGAACAGGACCGCGAGCAACCAUGACCUAGUCAUCACGGGAUCUAAAGAUCACUAUGUCAAGAUGUUUGAGAUUGCAGAAGGCGUUGUUGGGAACAUUGGCCCCACUCACAACUUUGAACCCCCACAUUAUGAUGGCAUUGAGUGCCUAGCUAUUCAGGGAGAUGUUCUCUUCAGCGGCUCCAGGGACAACGGAAUCAAGAAAUGGGACCUGGACCAGCAGGAGCUCAUCCAGCAAAUCCCAAAUGCACACAAAGACUGGGUUUGUGCGUUGGCCUUUGUGCCUAGCCGGCCCAUGCUGCUGAGUGCCUGCCGUGGUGGGACAGUGAAGGUCUGGAAUGUCGAUAACUUCACCCCCGUUGGGGACAUCAAGGGGCACGACAGCCCCAUCAAUGCCAUCUGCACCAAUUCUAAGCACAUAUUCACAGCUUCCAGUGACUGCCGGGUAAAGUUAUGGAAUUACGUGCCUGGGCUCACCCCCUGCCUUCCACGACGCGUCCUUGCCAUCAAGGGCCGUGCUACCAGUCUGCCUUGACCCUCCUCCUGUCUUCUCUACUCUCCUGCUCACUUUUUCUUGCUGUGUUCCCCCUUCCCCUCUUUCUCGUCCCUAACCCCUUUCUCUGCGAGCUGAUCUCAGCUGCUUCUUAACGUGACUGGACAGUGAAACUCUGGAGUGCAAGGAAGCUACUGAACAGCACAACCUAGAUAGAACCUGGGGAACUACUUGGACAUGGUGACUGUGGUGGAGGUCACGAGAAGACAAGAUGUGGCGCUCUUGCUGAGCCUGGCUUGCAAGGGUAGGAUGUGCUUAGCUUCCCACCAGAAUCUCACACACUCAGGGCUUCAGGAAAAGAUGGCACCCUGGCUUUUUGGUACCGUGUGCCCCAGUGAGUGAGUUGGUUGGAUGGUGCGAGGGAGCCUUCUUUCCUUUCCAGUUUCCAUGCUCCAUGUCUCUUUGCUUGGUAGGAUUUUGCAAUGACACUGAACUGUGAAACUCCCACCAUGGCAUUGCCAGCCAAGGAGGAAGGUCAAGCUGAGGCAUUUGAGAGCAUUUCUCCCAUCAGAAUCCACAUGCCACCCAAACAGGCACACACACCCCCAGGCUAUGUGAGAAGCUCUGCAAAAUAGGUGGUUUUAGGUGUUCAUAGACCAAGGAGGUUUAUCAAGGAAAGAUGCAAGAAACCUCAUUCCUCACUCCAUCACGCCUGAGCAAUCCAUACCUACCGACUCCUAUGGCCGCCUGUGCCCUGCUUAUGGCAUUCCUCCAGAGCUUAACAGUGAAACUGACCAGAGGAAAUCUAAAUAUGCCAGCUGCUUCCUGGAUAUGUUUCCUGCAUAGCUGAUUGUUGUGUUUUAGAGGGUAUUUCUUGUUCUAGUUAGAUCUUUCAUGAGUGUUAAUGCGCUGGCUUCCUUUCUCUUAUUUCCACCACUGAUGGGCUGUGUGUAUGUGUGUGUGUGAUUUUAUGAAGGGGGGAAGGGGGGGUGGCAAAGUUAGCCACCUUUUUUAAAAUGUUAAGCACAUGUGAUAUUUCUCAGUUUUCACUCCAAAAGUAGAAUCGCCAAAGGUUUUCAUUUUCAAAUGCUUAGAGCCCCUACCAAGAGAACAUAAAAAAGAAAAAUCUCUACUGUGUAAGUGAGGCCUGUCAAAUGGGUGAUGGAUAAUAUGGGAUUUGGAUUAUCACUUUUUCUUCAACUGUGGAAUCAAGAUUUCUGUUAGUUUGGAAGAAUGGUUGCUUUCUGUGUUCCAGCUUCAGACUUGAAAUUGUAAUGCUGGUCCCUUUUUUCAUAGUGCUAGAUAUCCCAGGAGGGGAAAAAAAAGAUGUGAGCUACUGGAAUAUGUUUUUGGAUUCUCCCUGGGAAAGUCUUCACAGGCAGCCUGGGGGAAAACAUGCAUUAUUUCAAUCUGUGAAGCUGUUUACAUUGUCCUGUUCCAAUACGAGAAAAUAAUAAUGGCAACAGAAACUGACUCUCUCCCCUCAGGUGGAGAAAGGACCCUUUUAAGUAUUGGAACAGAAAUGUGUGAGUUUUUUCUUUAGAUUUUUAACAGGGUAAGAAACACUUGAACAAGCGUGUGGUGAUGCGUUCCUGUAUUCACAUUUCCCCAGAUGUGGGAUGAUGAGACUUGCCCUCUUAGUCUUGCCCCAUCACCUGUUUACUUACACCUGCUUGCCAUCCGUUCACGUCAAUACUCAUGUCUUUAUAAUAGACUCUGCAACGAAUAAGCAGGAGAAGCUUCUCUCUCUGUGCUUCAAUCAACUUGAAUUUUCACUGGUGGAGUUUCAACCCACUUAAGUGUUCUCAUGGACCCUGUGUGAGCAUCACUUUGCAAGAGAUGAAGCUUUCUGUUUGUGUGUAACACAGCAGGGCUGUCCCAGCCCUCACUGGAGUCACAGAGCACUCCUCAAAACCUUCGUUUCCUCACUUGGUUGUUAAUAUGUGGUAUAAAUGGACUUUUGACAUGCAUUGUGCUCUCCUGACCAAGGACCAAGGACCAAGUUCAUGCCUCAACCAGCAGACUUGGGGUAAGCAGCACACUGGUGGACCAUUCCACAGCUCUGCCCCCUGGUUUAUAGGAGUCUUCUGCUCUAAUAAACUGGGUUUGGGUGUGAACUUCAUCCACUCCAUGCAGUGAAGCUGCAGAUUCUUCCAUUGGGAGUAGGUUAUUGUACUGUAAUUCUGUAUGGGUGUUCAAAAGGUUCUGUGUAUUGUCUUGUGCAUUAUUUGGGGCUGGGGGAGCAGGAGGGAGAGGGUUGUGUGUAUGUGCACGCGCAUGAGUGAAAUUUAAAAAGGGUGAGGGCUUGUUUUGAGUUAACCUACCUCAUGGUCCAAGGUGUCUAGUUCUACUCUUUGGGGGUUUUUUAUGUUAAUAAAACUUGAAUUAGUCCGGGGAACGCACAUUACCACUGACCCCUAAGUCCCAAAAGUGAGAUGAAGGCAAGGUGAAAGCAAGUGUGCUUUGCCUUCACUGUUGACUGAUUUACAUUCAAGCUCACAGCUUGUAUUGUGUCCACCAGCAGCACCAAUUUUAAUAAGCUCUUCUUAAACGUUAAGACUGAUAUUUAUUGAAUCACUGUGUCCUUUGCAGUCUUCUCGUGACUUAGCAUUCUCAACUGAGAAUAA